ensembl:snRNA U6 U6 spliceosomal RNA
GCCCAAUUCAUAGAGAUUAGUAUAGUUCCUGCAUGAGGAUGACAUGCAUAUUCAUGAAGUGUUCCAUAUUUUU